rnacentral:tRNA from 1 species
ACUAGAUUGGCUGAAUAAAGCGAAAGGUUUUUAAUCUUUUAAUAGAAAAAUAUAGUU